rnacentral:rRNA from 1 species
GACGUACCGUGCGAACGUUGUUCGGAAUCACUGGGCUUAAAGGGCGCGUAGGUGGUUUGCCAAGUCGGGGUUGAAAUCUUUCGGCUUAACCGGAAAAGUGGCUUCGAUACUGGCAAGCUGGAGGGAGGUAGGGGCGGAUGGAACUUCCGGUGGAGCGGUGAAAUGUGUUGAUAUCGGAAGGAACGCCGGUGGCGAAAGCGAUCCGCUGGACCUCUUCUGACACUGAGGCGCGAAAGCCAGGGGAGCAAACGGG